UUGAGACUCAAUUUGAGACUGAAAUAGGCUUGAAAUCUUUUCUGAGUGUUUUUAAACAGUUUAACAAAGCGCUCUUGAACACAACAUUUGACGUCUGGGAGGAGUAAGUGUCCUCCUUUGAAGAAGGCUGCGUCUUCUGUUUUAACCUUCUUCUGUGAGGCUGGAUAUGUGGGAGAGAGGACGUUUUAUUUUUAUUUUGUACAACCGAAAUGUCCUUUUUGUGUCAUGCCAGAGCGUGUCUCCCGUUGUCUGCAUCACGCCUGUUAAAGCCGGACCGGAGCUCGUGUAAAAGGCUUUAGCACUGCAGCUAGCUGUGAGUCAAAGCAAACGAAACCCCAGAUGUAAUGCACAACAUCACAUGAGACAAAAGAAUGACAAGGCGUCUUAUGGAUGGAGAAUCUUUGCCCCAACCAAAGGCAGAAACUUGGACACUCCUGAAGCUGACGAAAACAUGGACACUCCUGAAGCAGAUCGAUUGCUCCCUGUGCAUAAUGUACGCAAAGGCAGAACAAGAAGACCAUGGACCAAAGUGGAGAAAAAUGCUGUGCUGAGAGUCUCACAUAAAGAAAUCCACAUUGAAGAAGGAGUGCUUGGUUUGCAUAGAAUGUGAACAGCCAGCACUGAAGAGCCGAAGAGAUAUGCCAGAACAU